AGCUUUGCUCAGUGGCAGUAUUGUAGCCAAUGAGGUUUAUCCGAGGCGCGAUUAUUGCUAAUUGAAAAAAGUACCAGGGGCGCCUGGGUGGCGCAGUCGGUUAAGCGUCCGACUUCAGCCAGGUCACGAUCUCGCGGUC